rnacentral:rRNA from 1 species
UACAGAGGUGGCAAGCGUUGUUCGGAAUUACUGGGCGUAAAGGGCGCGUAGGCGGUUCGAUAAGUCCCGUGUGAAAUCCCUCGGCUCAACUGAGGAACUGCACGGGAAACUGACGGGCUUGAGUUCGGGAGAGGGAAGCGGAAUUCCGGGUGUAGCGGUGAAAUGCGUAGAUAUCCGGAGGAACACCGGUGGCGAAGGCGGCAUCCUGGACCGGCAUUGACGCUGAGGCGCGAAAGCCAGGGGAGCAAACGGG